rnacentral:rRNA from 1 species
AACGUAGGACGCAAGCGUUAUCCGGAGUUACUGGGCGUAAAGCGUGCGCAGGCGGCUUUGCAAGACAGAUGUGAAAUCCCCGGGCUUAACCUGGGAACUGCAUUUGUGACUGCAUGGCUGGAGUGCGGCAGAGGGGGAUGGAAUUCCGCGUGUAGCAGUGAAAUGCGUAGAUAUGCGGAGGAACACCGAUGGCGAAGGCAAUCCCCUGGGCCUGCACUGACGCUCAUGCACGAAAGCGUGGGGAGCAAACAGG